AUUUAGAAAUGAAUGAUUUUGAGUCUUUCGAAAGAUGAUUUUGAAUUUGGCAUGGUUUUGAGAUUGUUUGGAAGUGUUGGAAAGACGUGAAAAGUGGCUCCAUUUUGAAAAAUGAUUCUUGGCCAGAUGUGAAUUGAAUACGGUGGUUAUUUAAAAAUAAAUGGGCCAAGAAUGAUUUUGAAGUAAGAUAUUGAGCCUGAUUGAUGUGUUGGAACUGUUUUUCUGAAAAACCACUGGACUACUAUUUUAUAUUGAGAUUAUGAAACGCUAUGCGCCCGACAGGGGCAGAGGUCGGUGGCAAUAGAUCCCGCUCGCAUCCCUUCGGAUCAUCAGAGCGUACAGGCGCAAAACCUUGGGUGUGCAUAUUGUAACUGGUUUACCUAUGUGAAUACUUAUGUUAGUUGCUAACUGCUAUAUUUGUUGUAAUUGCUAUUGAUUGUGUUUGAACUACAUUAUGUGUGAUUGUGUUUGAUUGGUUGGUUUGUGAUGAAUUGGUUGAUGAUUGAGUUGUU